GAUGAAGAACGUAGCAAAAUGCGAUACGUAAUGUGAAUUGCAGAAUUCAGUGAAUCAUCGAGUCUUUGAACGCACAUUGCGCCCCCUGGUAUUCCGGGGGGCAUGCCUGUCCGAGCGUCAUUGCUGCCCUCAAGCACGGCUUGGGUGUUGGGCCUCCGUCCUCCUCCCGGGGGACGGGCCCGAAAGGCAGCGGCGGCACCGCGUCCGGUCCUCGAGCGUAUGGGGCUUCGUCACCCGCUCUUGUAGGCCCGGCCGGCGCUUGCCGACACAUCAAUCUUUUUUCCAGGUUGACCUCGGAUCAGGUAGGGAUACCCGCUGAACUUAAGCAUAUCAAUAAGCGGAGGA
rnacentral:misc_RNA from 1 species